CCUGUUUCUGGAGUUCCAGCCCACUCGCGAGAAGAAAUUUUAUUAUUUUAUCUGAAUUCCGUGUCUCCGUGUAUUUCUUUCCUAGAUUUCUGCAACAAAGAGUCAUUUCCCCAUUUACUAACUUGAUUUAACAAAAGGCUCCAGGCUAUAACAAAAUUUGAAAUGGACACUGCCUGUUCCUUGAUAUCUCUCCUCCCCAAUUAAUGUGUGUGUGCAAUAGUUCACUCAGCAAUCAGAUCGUCUAAUUCACAUGCAUCUGCUGUAAACUUGAAGUUAGCCACCCACUGCUAUAAACUAGUUCUUGAAUUUAUGGAAAAGUUAUGUUUAAGAAGACAAUGAAAUGAAGACAUCAAAUAAGACUGCCUGAGAGGAUUGAUGCAGAUUGGAAACAGGUACGCUUCCAUGCUGAAAUCCUUCAGAGAUUAACAACAGCAACUGCCUGGAAGUGUUCUUGGUUCCUUUUCACCACUCUGCCAUCUGGGUAGACAUAUGAAGAUCAGUUCAACAGAUUUUAAAAAUGAUUAUUAUGAAGGUUAUUCAUUUUAGCAGAUGAUUUUUGUUUUGCCACUCCCACAUAAAUGUAAAACAGAGAAUAUGUUCAAAGCAGAGACAACUAUAGACCCUACAUAUUUUAAAUUUCCUCUCCAGAAGUUAAAACCAUUGAAAACUGAGCUUCAUAAUGUCUACUCACACCACAAAAGGUGAAUUUUGAAAUGAGUGUAUGUGCAUUAGCGUGAUGUUCAGUUCUCUUUGACCUCCCCAAAUAAAUUAUGUUCUUUGAAGAU